rnacentral:rRNA from 1 species
GAUGAACGCUGGCGGCGUGCCUAAUACAUGCAAGUCGAGCGAACGGACGAGAAGCUUGCUUCUCUGAUGUUAGCGGCGGACGGGUGAGUAACACGUGGAUAACCUACCUAUAAGACUGGGAUAACUUCGGGAAACCGGAGCUAAUACCGGAUGAUAUUUUGAACCGCAUGGUUCAAAAGUGAAGGACGGUCUUGCUGUCACUUAUAGAUGGAUCCGCGCUGCAUUAGCUAGUUGGUAAGGUAACGGCUUACCAAGGCAACGAUGCAUAGCCGACCUGAGAGGGUGAUCGGCCACACUGGAACUGAGACACGGUCCAGACUCCUACGGGAGGCAGCAGUAGGGAAUCUUCCGCAAUGGGCGAAAGCCUGACGGAGCAACGCCGCGUGAGUGAUGAAGGUCUUCGGAUCGUAAAACUCUGUUAUUAGGGAAGAACAUAUGUGUAAGUAACUGUGCACAUCUUGACGGUACCUAAUCAGAAAGCCACGGCUAACUACG